GAUAAACGCUGGCGGCGCACAUAAGACAUGCAAGUCGAACGGACUUAACCAUUAGUUUACUAUUGGAGCGGUUAGUGGCGGACUGGUGAGUAACACGUAAGCAACCUGCCUAUCAGAGGGGAACAACAGUUAGAAACGGCUGCUAAUACCGCAUAAUGCAUUGGAUUCGCAUGUUUCUGAUGCCAAAGAUUUUAUCGCUGAAAGAUGAGCUCGCGUCUGAUUAGCUAGUUGGCGGGGUAACGGCCCACCAAGGCGACGAUCAGUAGCCGGACUGAGAGGUUGAACGGCCACAUUGGGACUGAGACACGGCCCAG
rnacentral:rRNA from 1 species